CUCAAAAAGAAGACAAUUAAAUAAAUAAGCCAUAUGCUUAUUUAACAAGGAGGUGAUGUGUUAUUUAGGUAAUAUUGCCCUAGCAAUGUUCAUUUAUGAACAAAUGGCAGAGAGUUGGCUAUUGUAGUGAGAGAUUGUUGAGAAUAGUUGAAGAAUCCAGUACUGAUGCUUCUCAGAAUUAAGGACUAAAUUUGGUAUUUUUAGAUGAACUCUUAAG